AUCUUUGCGCUUGGGGCAAUGAUGCAGCUAGUAGUGAGGUUCUAACCAAAAAACGUCCAUUGCUGGUUGAAAACUAUUUCCAAACCCCCUAUUGGGUCUGGGUUCACCCUAGGCCUUUGAGAAUUUCUGGAAGGGCUUCCUCAUGGGCAAAGCC
rfam:Glycine soja cultivar W05 scaffold2066_6, whole genome shotgun sequence.